rnacentral:rRNA from 1 species
UACGUAGGGUGCAAGCGUUAUCCGGAAUUACUGGGCGUAAAGAGUUCGUAGGCGGUUUUUUAAGUUAGAUGUUAAAUAUGCAGGCUCAACUUGCAUGCCGCAUCUAAUACUGGAAGACUUGAGAUUGGAAGAGGCAAACGGAAUUCACAGUGGAGCGGUAGAAUGCGUAGAUAUUGUGAAGAACACCAAUGGCGAAGGCAGUUUGCUGGGCCAAUUCUGACGCUGAGGAACGAAAGCGUGGGGAGCGAUCGGG